rnacentral:miRNA from 1 species
UUUUCAUAACAGCUCUGUCAGC